rnacentral:rRNA from 1 species
UACGUAGGUGGCAAGCGUUGUCCGGAAUUAUUGGGCGUAAAGCGCGCGCAGGCGGCCUCUUAAGUCUGAUGUGAAAGCCCCCCGGCUCAGCCGGGGAGGGCCAUUGGAAACUGGGAGGCUUGAGUAUAGGAGAGAAGAGUGGAAUUCCACGUGUAGCGGUGAAAUGCGUAGAGAUGUGGAGGAACACCAGUGGCGAAGGCGACUCUUUGGCCUAUAACUGACGCUGAGGCGCGAAAGCGUGGGGAGCAAACAGG